CCUACGGGAGGCAGCAGUGAGGAAUAUUGGUCAAUGGCCGGAAGGCUGAACCAGCCAAGCCGCGUGAAGGACGACGGUGCUAUGCAUUGUAAACUUCUUUUGUCAAGGGGCAAAAUCAGGCACGUGAGCCUGACCGAGGGUACUUUAAGAAAAAGGAUCGGCUAACUCCGUGCCCGCAGCCGCGGUCAUACGGGGGAUGCGAGCGUUAUCCGGAUUUAUUGGGUUUAAAGGGUGCGUAGGCGGACUGUUAAGUCAGCGGUAAAAGCCCGGGGCUCAACCCCGGCGAGCCGUUGAAACUGGCGGUCUUGAGAUGGCGAGAGGUAUGCGGAAUGCGUAGUGUAGCGGUGAAAUGCUUAGAUAUUGCGCAGAACUCCGAUUGCGAAGGCAGCAUACCGGCGGCGAUCUGACGCUGAGGCACGAAAGCGUGGGUAUCGAACAGGAUUAGAUACCCGUGUAGUC
rnacentral:rRNA from 1 species